UACGUAGGGGGCAAGCGUUGUCCGGAAUUAUUGGGCGUAAAGAGCGCGUAGGCGGUCCGAUAAGUCGGCUGUGAAAGUCAGGGGCUCAACCCUUGAAAGCCGGCCGAUACUGUCGGACUAGAGUCCGGAAGAGGCAAGUGGAAUUCCCGGUGUAGCGGUGAAAUGCGCAGAUAUCAGGAGGAACACCGGUGGCGAAGGCGGGUCUCUGGGCCGUAACUGACGCUGAGGAGCGAAAGCAUGGGGAGCGAACAGG
rnacentral:rRNA from 1 species